rnacentral:lncRNA from 1 species
AUACACGUAAUAGGAGUUUUGAAGAACAACUUUUUAACCUCCUCACUGACUUUUCUAGCUGUGUUAUAUGGUAGAUUAUGAUUAAGAAACGAAUAAUAAAAUAGAGCUGUUAAUCUGACCUAUAACCUAGCUAAUCUGUCACAGUGUGGUAAUCCUCUUACUACACUUUCACGUUUUUACAAAGUACUGUUAUUUUAAAACAUUGUUCAAAAUCUUCUUCUACAGUUCCACUGCAAUACAUUUUUAUUUACAUUAGUUUUUCUAAAUCUAGAAAGGAACAUACAUACUGGCACAUGCUAGUAAAUGUAAUAUUUAACUACUAUCUACUGAAAGGCUAAAAACCAAUUUUGCUCUAACA